rnacentral:rRNA from 1 species
AUUGAACGCUGGCGGCGUGCUUAACACAUGCAAGUCGAUCGGUAACAGGUGUAGCAAUACAUGCUGACGAGAGGCGGACGGGUGAGUAAUGCUUGGGAAUCUGCCUAUUAGUGGGGGACAACCCGGGGAAACUCGGGCUAAUACCGCAUACGCUCUACGGAGGAAAGCCGGGGACCGCAAGGCCUGGCGCUAAUAGAUGAGCCCAAGUCGGAUUAGCUAGUUGUAGGGUAACGCCUACCAAGGCGACAAUCCGUAGCUGGUCUGAGAGGACGACCAGCCACACCGGAACUGAGACACGGUCCGGACUCCUACGGGAGGCAGCAGUGGGGAAUAUUGGACAAUGGGGGCAACCCUGAUCCAGCGACG